GAUGUCUUAAAAUGUUCUUACAGCAACUCAUGAAGUGGACUAUUGGAUGGAAAAUGCUCUCCUUCUGCACUGGUAAACUGGUGUCAUGGGUGACAACUGGUGUAAGUAUGCAAAUAUUGGGAACAGUGUGGUUACGCUGAUGAGUUUGUAGGGCAGGCUCAUCAGCCCUACAGAGCAAAGGUAAUCCCUUUCAGGAGUUGAAAUUCAACAGGGAGGUUCAAGAGGAAAAUUUCAUGUUCUUUCCAAAAUAAUUAUGGUCACUGCACAAUGUUCUUUUACAGUGAGUAUAUUCACAUUUUGAAAUAGUGGGGGAAAAAGUCAAAUAGCUGAUAAAAGGAAGGGUUUUUAAAAUUCCUGUCACACAUUUUAAUUUGCUCCCUGCACACUCAACUCUGUUGCUUUUGAUUACUUAAGUCUGCAUCAGUGGCUUAUACCAACUAAACGUUUGUUGUCAAGGUCAUUCCAAAAUACUACUGCCCAUGAAAUUACUGAUGCAUUGCCUGAAGUGCUGUGGAUCAGGGAGGGGCAGGUCUAUUGUUGAAGUCCUUCUUGGAGAAAGGUGAACGAAGAGCAGUGGUCAGAUACUGUACUUCUGGUGCACAGUCUCCCAGCUGCGGAAUCAGUAUCUGUUCUCUCUGGUCCUUUUAAAAGUUCUUAUAUCGCCACUGCCUGAGAAGGGCAGACUGCACCCUUCGAGAAGCCAGUCAUCUCCAGGUGGCACGCUGUAACUCUUAGCCUUCACCAUGUGUCAUGUGCUCCACAUUUACUAGUAAAAUUCCUUAGAGCAUGGGUGAACGAUAGCUGGCUAGAGCUAAACCCAGGUGAACUUGAAUCUAUUAUGAAUCCACACCCUAGUUCUGUGUUUUUCUUUGGACUCUUCAUCAGUGCUAAGCUUUCCCAAAGCAAAUACUUGAGGAAUGAUCAAUUUUCUUUCAGCUUACCAGGAAAGAAAUCCUUUACACAUUUGACUCCUACUGGUUAGACUAUGGCAUUGAGCCAUAACUGAAGCCUUGUCUGCUCACAAAACUCUAGUACAGAACACUGUCAUGAAUAUUCUCAGAAAUCAAAGACCUAGGCUAUUUUUCUAUAAUACUUCCUGUGCUUCUCUGUGCAAGGCUUUUUCUCAGUUGCAAAGACCAAUGUCAAAUCUAGUUUCUUUGCAAGGAGACAGACACUUCUUAGAAGUGGUGGAACAGAGGAAAAAGGAGCAUUCCUCUACUGGAAGGCUCUUUAGAAAGGAGUGGACAAAUGCAGAGAGCAUGAAAAUACAAAAUUUUGAAUCCAGGAUAAGUUUUGUGAUCAAAACAAAGUUGCAAAUGGGCAAAUCUCAUUCAGUUUAUAGUCUGCCAAUAUUCAUUAAGAAUCCACAUUUUUGGUGUGAAUAAUCUUUACAACUACUUUUUCUAAAAUGUCACUUAAACAUGGAAGUUCAUAAAAUUAGAAGAAGUAAUUCUCUGAAGUUUAGAAAAAUGAACAAACCAGCAAUAGCAAGAUGACAGAAACUACUUUUUCAGAAACUAAGGAGAAAAACAAUACAGCAAGCCUUCUUUUCCUUGUCCACAGUUAAAGAAAACUGAAAAUAAUGCUUUCCAAUAGUCCUCUGGAUUGCAUAAGAAUAUCCACAUGUCCAAUACCUCGUUAUCCAGCAGAGAGGUUGUUAAAAAGACUGCACACCAGAAACAGACACUGGAUUUUUUUUUGCCUCUGCUGUUCUUUUCUGUCCCCUCUUGGGUAUUUUUGUCUUGUUUCAUCUUCAGGAAAAGAGGAUUAGACUCCACCAGAAAAAGCUCAAAAUGUGCUCUAGUCAUUCCUAGGACAAGAGUUUUGAAGAGAAAACGCUACAGAUAAAGUUCUUCAUAUUGAGCAAACCAUACUCCCAUGGAGUGAGAAACAUUUGACUUCCAAUUUUUUGCCUGUCAGAUGACACUAUAAACUAUACAGUCAGUUUGGCAAUACAGUGGAAUAGCCUUCCCUUGGGACAGUGUGGCGAAUCGGAUCUGGGUGUGACUGUGAUUAUUCUGCAAACUGCAGGAAUAAUUCAUUGGGAUCCAGGAUUCAAGAUGGCACCAAGAGGAGGAAGGCCUGAAAAACGAAAUAAAGAAAAAUCAUCAAUCAUUCUGUUUGCAGAGUAUGCUGGCUGGAUCUGUCUGCUGAUGCUAUAAAUUGGGACACAUAGCUGUUAAUUUACCAGAAGAAGCUGCUAAUUCUCUUAUGAUUUUAUGAGAAGGUCUGAAAAGACAAAGAAAGCCCAAGAAAGUUUAAGGCUGAUUUUUUCUUCAUUAGCAAAGGUGACUUUAUUGGGUAACUGCCAAGAACAUAAAAUAAGCUGAAGAAAUGAACUAUGCUACAAAAGAAUUAUCUUGAACUUUGACUAUCUUUAGUUUUAUUUAUUUAAUUUCAGUAUGUAGUUGUUCAGGGCUUUGUCUAUCCCUGUGGAUCUAAUUAGGGUCUAAGGGCCCAGAGAAAAGGAUGUGAAUGAAUCCUACACUCUGGUUAUGAUACUAAUAUCUUUCAGAAUAGAUGCUAUGGCUGUUCAACACAUAAGACUGUAUCUGAGAAUUUACCUUCUUUCAGCAUAUUUUCUGCAUGGCAUCUCUCCCGGACCUCAUAAAGUCAGUGGGUCAAGUUUUCACGCUUUAUAUACACAGCAAAAUAACAAAAGCAAUAGGUAUUGCGGGUAUGACUGUAUUGUGGGGUCAUCUUGCAAUGCCUCACUUUGUUCAGCUGGCAUUUUUAAUAUGGAUACUAAAACAUAGCACUGAUAGUAAUGGAUACUGACCACCAUAUGGCUGUAAGGUAUGGCCACAUAUAUGCACACCAACGAGUAAUGCAUGAAGAGAUCUCCUCCUGCUAUGAUACAAAGAAAAAAGGAUUGAUCAACCCCCAGAGCAUUUUUACUAUAUGCAGAUGUGGCCUUUAAGUUAAAAUCUGUAGCAGAGCUUCAUUAGCUUCCAGUUCACUAAAAUGUAAACUUAGAUAUGCUUAGGCCUCUGAACUCUCAGAACAUUAUAAAGCUCACAAAGCUCUUCUACGGAUAAGAGACAGGCCUCUUCAUUUCUAAGGCUGAAUUUAGUUUGCAUAUCUUUUCUCCUAUUAUAUAUAUUUACAAAUAUAUGUAUCUACAAAUAUAUAUAUGUUUUCCUGAAUUUUCUGCUUGGCUCUAGGCAAAAUGGGAUGUUUUCUUAAAGCCUCAGGCCAAUGCCAAAAGCUGUUUUUUGGUGUGGGAUUAUGAACAAAGACAUUUAAUAAAUGAAAGUCUUCAGAUUCAGAUUUUUUUGGAAAGAGCUGGGUCUUUCCAAAUUUAAUAUAAAACUUGGGCUCAGCACACUUGAGUCAGUGCCAGUCUCAUUUACUGUGGUGCCUCCAGAGGCCUCAUCUAUACCCGGAAUGGUCAACUAGCAAUUAAAAGCAAACAAACAAAAAAACAAACCAAAUUAGAAAUAUGCACUUUCUGUUACCCAGAGUAUGAAAGUGGUUAUAUAUAAACUCAACUUUCUACUUGGAAACUUUUUUGAACUUUCUUUUUUCACAAAGGCUGUCUUGUCAAGUGGACUUAAUCAAAGGUAUGUUAAUGAGCGAUAUUCACCCAUUUCAAGCACUAGUCCACAGAUGUAUAGUAUUGUAUCUACAGAAGUGAUAUACUUUCCUUGUUACCAGUUAAUAAGUUGCUAAAAUAUUCUCAAGAAAUACCAAAUAAGAAGUUCAUAAAUAUUUAUGUGAAAUCUUGGUGUGGUAUUGCAAUAUAAAUAGCAAUAUUAGUAUGUACUCUUUUUAUUGUUUUCCAUGGACAAAAUUAAAACCAAGACUACUAAAUGUGUUAAAAGUUAGGCUUAACAUUGUUUUGAUGAACUCGGCAUUUCCUCUGAAGAAAGCUAAAUUGGGUGCAUUUCCAAUUUACACUAGGUUCCAUCAAGCUAGCUAACCUGGCUUGGUUGCUUUGUAUGAUGUGGAAACUGUAAGACUUAUGUAAUCUUUGCUUUCCUGUGCAUGACUAGGUAUAUGAUGGAUAGGUAACAGCUACAGAGAGGUAUCAAAUACACUUCAGGUAAUGUUGUUAUUUCCCCUGGUAACUACUGGGAGGCACUGUCAUUUUCUGAGAAAGUCUGGUACUGUGACAACGAUAAGAGCACGUUUAUGUGAAAAGUGGAAAGUCUCGUGUUGGUUAAGAGGAAGGCUGUAAAAGCAUGCUAUAAAUGCGAAAAGCUCCAAGGAGGCUGAUGGGGCUGCAGGCCCCUUUGCGCGGGGCGGCUCGGAUAUCACUGAUUGUGAUGCAGCCGAAUUUCUCGCGUGCUGAGGCAGGGGCAGCCGCCUCUGGCUCACAGAAGGGCCACUAAAAUGACAGCGCUGAGAAGCACUGCUCUCCGAAGGGCAUAAUUCUGCUCUUACCACAUCAGGACACCUGAAAUCAUGAACAUCAUAAACACUCUCCUGUCUUUGCUGUUUGCCCUGUUGGCGGGAAUGAUUCUCAUUUUUGGCUUGAUUGUACUCUUCUGCAUCCUGCUCUUCAGCACCAGGCUUACUCUUACUCUUGGUGAAACCAAGAUGGUCACCAUGUUCGAUAGAGCAGGGAUGGUGACUGAAUAUUAUAUCUAUAAUCCGGUCACCAAGCCACAUGCGGCUCAGGUAGACAUUGAAUUUGAUAAAGCUGAUUUACUAGCCAAGAUGGCCAAGGAGAUUGCUCCUAAUUACAGUGUGGUGGGUACCAGAAAAUUAUUGUUCUUCUUCUUAUUAUUUUUAUCAUUAUUAUUAUUGUUGUUGUUAUUUCAUAGUCAACUUAAAAUGGAAUUUAACUCCUUUUUAAUACAUCUUGAUAGGUACGACAAUGGGGUAGCUCUGCUGAAUGCAAUGGAAAUUCAGAAUAUUACUUAAUAUGAGAGGUUUGUAACAAUUAUAAGCUGAGGUCUAGAAGUGUUUAAAAUAUCAAAUAUUGAUUAAAGAUCGAGCAAAUGCAACUAGUUCACUGACUUUAAGGAAAGAGAAUCCAAAGGUUUCAGUUAUCUGAACAGGACAUUAGUCAGCUCAGUUGUACAUUAUAUAAAAGCUGUUUUAUGGAAACCCGGCAGUGUUAAGGGUGGUAAAACAAGAAUAUUGUGUUAUCAGAGUGGUGUAAAGUAUUUUUUAAAUCAACAGAAUAUUUUAUGACUCUAUAAAUAGAAAUAAAAUAGGAGGUCAGAGGUAUUCUGCAGGCAUUUGCUGAGUUGAAAACUACACAGCUUCAUAGGAAUGGCUCAUUUCAUUAUCAGUAUUUCUGCCUUUGCUGAAGUUUAGAAAAGAUUUCUCUCUGCAAACAAGACAACAUUGUUUUGUUUGUGAGCUGUGAGUGAGUUCCUGUUACUCCUACUGCAAUCAAGAGAAGCUGAGGGCUCCCCUGCACAUUGCAGAGGAUUCUUGGAACUGUGGAAUUUGAAUUUAAACUUGGUAUUUCUAUGUCUGAAUAUGGAGGAGGCCCUGAAAAAGCAGAGUCAGUUUCUAUAGUUAAAGGUACAAUGUACUUUUAAUGGCUAAAAUUACUAUAUGCUAAUCUUGUUAUUUAUAUAUGUAUCUGUAUGUGCGUAUGUAUAUGUGUAUAUAUGUCUUGGAAUAGAGCUUUUUUAGAUGAUAGGCUCGUCUGCCCUCUUCAAUUUGACUAUAGAAAUAUUUGCUCUAUUUCAGUUCUUACAAAAAAAGAUGUUUUUCUGCUUCAUCUAAUCAUCCUUCUACAAGUCUGCUGUAGUUUUCUUCCUUUUAUUUUUGUUGUUCUCUAUAUGUUGCUAGUUUCUGAAAAAAAUGUAUUGUCAACACUUUUAUUUAUGUUUAUGGAAAAGAUAAAAGGAGGCCUCCAGCUCUUGUGUAGUAUAAAUUUAGUUUGACUUGAUCCAUCUGGCCUACAGUUAAGUCAUUUUAAUUCAUCUGAUCAUCUGAGUCUUCCUUGCUUAGAGUUUCAGAUUGGGAAAGAAUGCAAAUAUGUAUACAUAUAAAGACUAAUUUUAACUUUUAUUUUUAAUCUCUUUUGGUAGUGUAGUUUGGCUGGUAAAACUCAAUAACAAGGACACAACUCAUCUUGAGAGAGUUUCAGAAAAUUUAGAACAAGUUUGUACGGUUUCUUAAUUAGCAUCUGUAAGAUGAAACAAAUGGCUCUGUCUAAUGUAUCUAAUAGUUACUAAAACCUUAGUAAGGCUGAGUACAAGAGAACGAGUUAACAGAUAAUCUUUUUAAUCUAAUGAUGCCAAAGCAUUCAACUCAAAACAAAUACAAUGAGCAAACCCAAGCACAGAGUGUUUCUCACAAAGCUUGCUCAUAUUACAGUAACUGUCAAUAAAGCUGAUUCUCUUUUACCAAAAGGAGAAAGUAAUAGACUAUUUCUUCCACUGGGAAACCUGUAAAAUCAGAUUUUGUCCAUUGAAUGUAUCUGCAUGUUUCCAUUUGUAUUUCUUUCUUUUCUUUUUUUUUUUUUUUUUUUCUUUUUUUUAGCAUCUAUCUACUGAUUGAGGAUGUGCUAACUGUUUUUGCUUAUCACACAGAAGCCCCUAUUUCAUACUGGGUUCCAGAGACGGUAGUUGCACUCUGCAUGCGUAACAACACUGUCUUACCUCAAAGGUCUUGCAGUGUGCAAACUUUGAAUAGCUAUCAUUUGUAGGUGUUGAUGAUUUCUAUAAUAAUUCAUUUUAAAAGAUAAUGAUGAAGUUAACUGUCUCCACUUUUAGAACCAUUAGCGGUGAUACAAGUCUCUCAGAUAAAUAAUAGAAAUACUGCUUCUGGCCCAUUUAAAGCUGCUCAGUAUAUUAGGAAAAUGAAUAGGAGAGAAAAAAUCUGCAAAACUAGGUGGAAAAUUUGCAAAGUAAUCUGACUUUUCCUUGUUGCUUCUAUUGCAGAGGACUGAGCAGAUAAAAGGAAAAAGGGGAAAAUAACCUGGCAUGGUAGAAUGAAGUAGGAGUAGGUCAUGAAGUGUUUUUGUUUACCCACUACAACCUUCUAAAUCUUAGGCUGAGAACUCUGCAGAGCCUGCAAGAGCUCUUUCUGGCCUUUAUGUUGUUUGUGUGUGCAAAACCAGAUAUGAUAAAAGUCUAAUUGUGAACUGGAUUUUGAAGUUCUAGCACAGUAAUAAUUGCAGUCAAUAGGAGCUAUAUGAACUAGUGAUCAGCCUGACAUUCUUUAGGUGAAAUUAUUUGUAAUGAGGAAUAUAAAUACUAUUACAAGUAGUUAUCAGGCAAUUGUCCAGGAUUUGUUACUAAUAUUUCCUUUUGAUUAGAACUGUAAAUGUGACUAUAUGGUGUAAGUGAAUAUUGAAUUUCGCUAGCACAUGUAAAUGCUCUUCUCCUGGAUCAUUACAAGAAUACUAUUACCUAAGGCCAACCUGUUUUUCAUUAAGACCAUAGACUUUAUUAACUUAAGCUCACUGGUUUUCAUUUAUAAAGUACAUGAAGAUCUCUCGGAAAAACCAGAUAUUCACUGGCAUCUCACUGAAAGUGGAUCCUAGUGGCAAUGCAUGGGAUACUGGAGAUGAUUCCCUGGAAGACAUCAGUCCAGAUGAGCAAAGUUAUGUUUUCACUUGUAAACAGCUGAAUGGCAGCUGCAUCUUAAUGUCAUACAACAAUGAAAACGAACCGACAGUCCAGAACUUGCAGCUGAAUGAUGUCAUACGGCUCCUCCUGCAGUCAUUUUCUGACACCUCCCAAAAGCCAGGUGAUGUGGGAUCCACUGACACCAGUGAGAACAGCAAGACCGAGGAGAAGGCAGAAGCCAACCCAAGCCACGAAGAGUGAUCUUGUCCUGUUUCCAUCUGGAAAAAAUCGCCCUUCUACAACAGACAGCACAAAAAACCUGCUCUUCAUCGUAUCCCCAGCAGGACACAAGGACUAAGCCUGCUGGCGUGCUUCUCCUUGUUUGUGAAAAAUUCACUGCGUUGUGCACUCUUAAA